GCGGAUGUCCAGCUUGUACUCGCCCGGCGUCAGGAACACCACUGUGCACUCGUGGUAGGCCCUGCCGGACUCCGCUAGCGAUGGUACCACCACUCUGCGAAUAAACGUGAAUUGUUGAACAUUUCCACAUCGCAUCAUUUUCCAUGACAAUGCAUUAUUAAAAUAAGGAUGAUCUAUGGUGCACCCAGGAUCGACUCCCAACUUUGGAACGACAAUAAAAGCUUGAAGCUAAAAUGAGAUUAAUGAAGAAAUCAAUUGCCUGAACUGAACUGAUAGAUGGAUUGUCCACUUUAGGACAGAUUCGCUAAAUAUACCAACUUAUAUUAUUGCCUGCAGUUGCGAGUCGACUGUCUAGCUUGUAAUUCAGUUCUACAUUGGUAGAACUGAAUUACAAGCUAGAUCUGUGCAGUUCUACCAAGAUUAUAACGACGUUAUAAUCUUGGUAGUACUGCACAGACAUACAUAGCUUCUUUAAGGCCUUCUGCAUGUGGUUGCUGACGACCACUCUGAGUGACAGACACUCUUCAGCAAUGCAUAUUUUUUUUUGUUUCCUUAUCUUGUUAUUGCUAACACUAGUAGUUUUAUUCAAAAAGGACUUAAGAAUAAUAAUAGCUAACGUUGUCUACUUGAAAAGGCGACCUUAUAAGAAGCGGUUUCAUAAGUCGCUUAAAGACAUCAAUUACAUUGCUAUACCAACUUGUUAUUGCCCGCAGUGGCGAGUCGACUGUCCAGCUUGUAGCUCAGUUCGCCGUUGUUAUAAUCUUGGUAGAACUGCACAGAUAUACACAGCUUCUUUAGGGGCCUCUGCAGGUGAU